rnacentral:rRNA from 1 species
UCCUACGGGAGGCAGCAGUGGGGAAUAUUGGACAAUGGGGGAAACCCUGAUCCAGCAAUGCCGCGUGAGUGAUGAAGGCCCUAGGGUUGUAAAGCUCUUUUACCCGGGAAGAUAAUGACUGUACCGGGAGAAUAAGCCCCGGCUAACUCCGUGCCAGCAGCCGCGGUAAUACGGAGGGGGCUAGCGUUGUUCGGAAUUACUGGGCGUAAAGCGCACGUAGGCGGCUUUGUAAGUUAGAGGUGAAAGCCCAGGGCUUAACCCUGGAAUUGCCUUUAAGACUGCAUCGCUAGAAUCGUGGAGAGGUGAGUGGAAUUCCGAGUGUAGAGGUGAAAUUCGUAGAUAUUCGGAAGAACACCAGUGGCGAAGGCGACUCACUGGACACGUAUUGACGCUGAGGUGCGAAAGCGUGGGGAGCAAACAGGAUUAGAUACCCCGGUAGG